rnacentral:rRNA from 1 species
CAGUAGGGAAUAUUGCACAAUGGGGGAAACCCUGAUGCAGCCAUGCCGCGUGUGUGAAGAAGGCCUUCGGGUUGUAAAGCACUUUCAGUAGGGAGGAAGGUAGUGUAGUUAACACCUGCACUAUUUGACGUUACCUACAGAAGAAGCACCGGCUAACUCCGUGCCAGCAGCCGCGGUAAUACGGAGGGUGCGAGCGUUAAUCGGAAUUACUGGGCGUAAAGCGCAUGCAGGCGGCCUGUUAAGUCAGAUGUGAAAGCCCCGGGGCUUAACCUCGGAAUUGCAUUUGAAACUGGCAGGCUAGAGUCUUGUAGAGGGGGUAGAAUUUCAGGUGUAGCGGUGAAAUGCGUAGAGAUCUGAAGGAAUACCAGUGGCGAAGGCGGCCCCCUGGACAAAGACUGACGCUCAGAUGCGAAAGCGUGGGGAGCAAACAGGAUUAGAUACCCUGGUGG